GGGCUGUGGUUGGUGCUGAUUGUGAUGCUGGUACUUGCUAUUACUUUGGAUCCAUUAAUUAACCAUUAUAGGGAGAGGUUGGCUUGUGUCAUCUGUUACAUGAGUAAAACUAUGAAUUUCAAACAUCACUUCCAGCAUCUGGGCUUUGUGCAGAUGUGUGACAUCUGAGCCAGAUCCUGGUAACUGAAGCAGUGCAAACUCAUGGAU